ACUCCUACGGGAGGCAGCAGUGAGGAAUAUUGGACAAUGGGUGGAAGCCUGAUCCAGCCAUCCCGCGUGCAGGAAGACGGCCCUAUGGGUUGUAAACUGCUUUUAUCUGGGGAUAAACCUACUUACGUGUAAGUAGCUGAAGGUACCAGAAGAAUAAGCACCGGCUAACUCCGUGCCAGCAGCCGCGGUAAUACGGAGGGUGCAAGCGUUAUCCGGAUUUAUUGGGUUUAAAGGGUCCGUAGGCGGACUGAUAAGUCAGUGGUGAAAUCCGACAGCUUAACUGUCGAACUGCCAUUGAUACUGUUAGUCUUGAGUAAGGUUGAAGUGGCUGGAAUAAGUAGUGUAGCGGUGAAAUGCAUAGAUAUUACUUAGAACACCAAUUGCGAAGGCAGGUCACUAAGUCUUAACUGACGCUGAUGGACGAAAGCGUGGGGAGCGAACAGGAUUAGAAACCCCUGUAGUCCCA
rnacentral:rRNA from 1 species